GUUUUUAUUCUUCAGAAGUUUAUCAAUAUCAGAUGCUCUUUGUUCACUUAAUUCACUACCACGAUCUUUAUCUUCAAUUGUUCUAAAGGAUUCCGGUUUAUUUCGUGGAAUUCAAAUCCGUUUGAUCUUUGCCAUAGUCACCGAACUCUAGCAUCCAAUCGUCUACGUAUUCGUAGAAAAAGUAAAUGUUGUAGAAUUUGACGCUUUAUUGCCUCACAUCCGACUAAAAAAAUGACCAGGGAAACAGAAGGCUGACAGACAUAUUCAUAGAAAAUAUGAAAAAGCCCUGCCUGUUGCCGUGUUGGAACUUGUAUUGACCUGUAUGAGCAUCAUACUGUGCAAAUCACCUAAAGAUGGAGUUGACCAAGUUGCUGACUUUGAGGAGAACUUGAAGAGCAGAAGAUGCAUUCCAUGACUCUUAUAUGAUAUAGAAGACAAAGGAGAGCUCUUGAGAAUGGGAAAAAACCUGCGAGUUUUACAGUCAAUGAACACACCUCACGACACAAGUCCAUCCUGAUUCAGUAAACUGGUAGUCUAUUCUUCUAAGGACACACCAUGACUUAGUUAAGAUUAAGUUUUGGUGUCAGAAGACUAAUGUAACUAAAACAUUGCAAAAUUAACCUGCAAGUGUCUUAUGUGAGCCUACUGAAUAAGGAUUCAUUACUGAACAGUUGAAGGAAAA